rnacentral:rRNA from 13 species
AGACUGAAGUGGAGAAAGGUUCCGUGUGAACAGCAGUUGGACACGGGUGAGCCGACCCUAAGAGACAGGAAAACUCCGCCGAACGCGGCCGCUUCUGUCGGCCCGUCCGUCGAAAGGGAAUCGGGUUAAUAUUCCCGAGCCGACGCGUGGAUGGUGGGCGGCGACGCGUACGAACCCGGAGACGCCGGCGCGGGCCCCGGGAAGAGUUCUCUUUUCUUCUUAACUGCCUCGUGCCCUGGAAUCGGUUUAGCCGGAGCGAGGGCUGCACGGCAGGCAAAGCACCCUAAGUCUUGGGGUGUCCGGCGCGC